CACCACUUGGGUCAAAUCUCUUAGAGGAUUCGGUGCAUCAAUCAAAGAUCAAUCUGCAACGGCUAUUCAAACUCUCCUAUAAGAAGACGGGCAAUCUCAAGAAGAAGAUUAACACAACUACACAAACUAUUUUCUUAGCCUCUCUAGUUCUUAGUACAAACAUUGUAUUCUUGAGUCUGUAAGUGUCACAAAAUAUAGGAAGAGUUAGAACACAAAAAGAGAGUUGUGUCAAUAUUACAAAAACCACUGCUACUGAAUAUCGUUGAUGGUGAACGUACUAAAACCAUAACUAUUGUAAUCCUUUAUCAAAGAUCUAUAAGAACCCUUGUGACCCAAGGGAACUGGACGUAGGUACCACACCGGUACUGAACUAGUAUAAAAAUUGAUGUGCCUUCUUUACCUUUCCGUUUGUUUAUUUCAUUCCUACUGAAAUUGUUCACUGUGCAAAAACUAAUUGACUAAACUCACACUUAGUCAACCAAGAUUUUAAUUGGCUACAAUUCACCUCCCCCCCCCCCCGUACUUUCAAUUGGUAUCAGAGUAAGGCUCACAAAUUUUGCUUAACAGCUAGUGAGGAAAAGAUCAUGAGAUCAAACAAAGUUGUUGGACCGCUAUUUCAAGAAGGAACCUCUCAGGUACGACCUCCAUAUUUCAACGGGCAACACUUUUCUCACUGGAAAGUACGUAUGGAAACAUAUACUAUGUCAUAUGACAUUAAAGCUUGGCGCGUGAUCAAAAAGGAAACUCUUCCAAUUCCGCCAAAGAAAGAUGAAAAUGGUCAAGUCAUAGUAUCAACUGAUCCACUUGACUAAGAUGACUACACUGAUGAACAAUCAGCCAUCAUAACAGUGAAUGCCAAAGCAAAAUAUUUACUGUAUAAUGCUAUUAGUGGAGAAGAAUAUGAAAAUAUAUCAAGCUGUGAAACUGCUAAGGAAAUGUGGAUUAAAUUAGAGGUCACGUAUGAAGGAACUAACAAAGUGAAAGAAACAAGGAUCAAUCUUCUUAUUCGGGACUAUGAAUUAUUUCAAAUGAAGGAUGGAGAAUCAGUAGAGGAAAUGUUCUCCAGAUUCAGCAAAAUCCUUGGAGAUUUAAAGUCAUUUGGUAGACCAAUAAAAAGAGGAGAACAGGUCAGAAAAAUCCUAAGAAGUCUUUCCAUGAUUUGGCAACCCAAAGUUAGUGCUCUGGAAUGUCAGGAUCUUGACGAGAUGUCGUAUGAUGAACUUAGAGGUGAUCUAAUUUCCUUCGAGAAAACUCACUUGGACAGGCAGAUUCAACAAGAAAAGACGAAAAGAGUUGCAUUCAAAGCGACUGUGGCUGAACCCGAAAAUGAGAACGGAAGAGGAAGGAGGAGAAUAGGAUGAAAACAUAGCCGUGCUCUCUCAAGUUGUAACAAGCAUGAUGAGGAAAAACAGAAAUAGCAGGAGAGGUAAAUCAAACUUCAGAAAAGAAAUGACGAAUAAUGAUAAUGAUAAAAAUGAUGGAAGAUGCUAUGAAUGUGGAAAAUAUGGACACAUUCAAGCUGAAUGCCCCGAACUGAAGAGGAAACUUAGCAGGAACUUUCAAAAGAAAAAGUCCUUUGGAGCCUGGAGUGAUGAAGAGGAAUUUGACCAUGAAAAAAUUACAAAUAUGUGUUUCAUGUCCAUAAAAGAAGACAACAAUGAGGACUCAAGUGAACUUGGGUUGAUGGCAGACGAAGGAACAGAUGAGGAAGAUAACUCAGGUGAACUUAGUCUUAUGGCAUACGAAGGAACUAGUGAGGUACGUCUUCCUACAUGUCCUAAUUGUUAUGAACUCCAAGAAAUUAUUGAUAUUGCUCUUGCAGAUAUUGAGAGACUUCUAAAUGAACUCAUAAAAAUCAAAAGAGAAGAAAAAUUGGGCCUUAAAGUUCGAAGUUUGUGAAAUUGAGCGUGAUAUGCUUCAAGAUGAAGUUAAUGAACUUCAACUUCAACUGAAUGGAUUGCAAAAAUCCACCAGUCAUAGUUCUAUCAAAUCCAAUCAGAUUGCUCCUCAUACAUCUUUGAUUAUAACUAGAAAUCCUACUGCAUGCUCUUAUUGUGACAAAAAUGAUCACAACACUAACCAAUGCAGGAAUAGAAUCAGAGUAGAAAGAGGCUCUGAAAAUCCCAAUAAUCAUUCUUGCUUUUAUUGCGGAAAACUUGGGCACACUUCUAACCAUUGUAGGUUCAAGGACAACAGGAGAUGGGUCUGGCGACCUAAAUUUUCUAGUCAAGCUAAUACUCAGAAAUCUAACCAUUCAGGACUCAAGCAGGCUUGGGUACCUAAAAACAAGUAAUAUUUUUUUUUUGCAGGAACACCACAAGAAUAAUCGAAAAGGAAAAUAGUACCUUGACCGCACGUGUUCCAGACAUAUGACUGGUGACAAACAGUUAUUCAAAACGGUCACCAAACUAGAUGGAGGAACAUUUACUUUUGGUGAUAAAUCAAAAGGAAACGUAAUUGGAGUUGGAAAGGUUCCCGUCAGCUCAACAUGUGAUGUAGAUGAAGUAUACCUGGUUGUUAAACUUGGUUACAAUCUUCUCAGUAUCAGUCAACUAUGUGACAAAGACUAUGAGGUUCGUUUUAAGAAACAUGAUUUGUUUAUAGAAGACGAAUCAGGUAAAGUUAUUUUUUCUGGUAAUAGAGACAGGAAUGUCUAUACUAUCAGUAAUGUAGAUAGUCUUGGUAAUCAAAUUUGUCUAGCAUCUAUGAUUAAUGAUCCCCGAGUAUGGCAUAGAAAGCUCGGCCAUGCUAGCAUGCAUACUAUUCAAAAACUUUCCAAACACGAUCUUGUCAUUGGUCUUCCAAAACUAGAUUUCUCAAAAGAUCAUAUUUGUGAUGCAUGUCAAUUAGGAAAACAAACUCGUUCAUCUUUCAAAAUCAAAAACAUUGUCUCUACUACUAAACCUCUUCAACUCUUGCAUAUGGAUUUGUUUGGUCCAACUAGAACAGCUAGUACUGGUGGUAAAAAAUAUGCUUUUGUUAUUGUAGAUGAUUUUUCUCAUUUCACUUGGGUUAUUUUUCUAAGUCAUAAAGAUGAAGCUCUAAGGAAUUUUGAAGUUUUCUGUAAGAAAGUUUAACGUGAAAAAGGAUAUUACAUUUCCACUAUCAGAAGUGACCAUGGAGGAGAGUUUGAAAACUUCUGCAAUGAUAAAGGAAUCUCUCAUAACUUCUCUUCGCCAAGAUCACCUCAACAGAAUAGAGUGGUAGAACGUAUAAAUAGAAAGUUGCAGGACAUGGCACAAACUAUGAUUGUAGAAAACUAUCUACCCCACCACUUCUGGGCAGAAGCUGUGAGCACAGCAUGUCAUAUUAUUAACAGAUGUCUAAUUCAACCCAUUAUUAAAAAGACUCCAUAUGAGCUAUGGAAUGGUAAGAAACCCAACAUCAGUUACUUCCACCCAUUUGGAUGCAAAUGCUUCAUCCACAAUAAUGGAAAGGACAAUUUGGGUAAGUUUGAUCCAAAUAGAGACGACGGUAUAUUUCAUGGAUAUUCUCCCUCAAGUAGAGCAUAUAGAGUUUACAAUAAAAGAACUUUAUGCAUUGAAGAAUCAAUUUAUGUUAUUUUUGUGGAUACUAAACCUCGCUCAAGGAACGAAAAACUUCCUGAAGAUGAGGAAAUUUCUAUUGUCCCAAAGUCUGUUGUUGUAGGAAAAGACAGUCAAGAAGAGUCGACCAUUCAGCAGAAUCAGUCAACUGAGGAGCACAUUGAAAUUCAGGAAUCUUCUUCUGCAGAACAGUCAACCACUGGGGAAAAGGAGCAAAUCACAAAUGUUCCAAAUGAAUGGAAAAGUGAACCAGGAUAUCCUCACAAAUUCAUCAUUAGAAAUCCACAAGAGGGUAUCACUACUAGAAGAUCUCAGAAGUUAAACUCUCACGUAGCCUUAAUAUCACAAUUUGAGCCAAAGAAGGUAGAUGAAGCCCUAAAAGAUGGCUAUUGGAUCAAAGCAAUGAAAGAAGAACUUGAUCAAUUUGAAAGAAAUAAAGUGUGGGAAUUGGUUCCAAAACCAUCAAAUGCUUCCAUUGUAGGAACUAAAUGGGUCUUCAGAAAGAAGUUGAAUGAAUCCGGUAAAGUGGUUCAUAACAAAGCAAGGCUAGUUGCUCAGGGUUCCUCUCAGCAAAAGGGACUCGACUACGAUGAAACUUUUGCACCUGUAGCAAGAUUGGAAUCUAUUCGAAUACUACUUGCUUUUGUUGCUCAAAAAGGAUGCAAACUCUUUCAAAUGGAUGUAAGAAGUGCCUUUCUCAACGGAUACAUUUCUGAAGAAGUAUAUGUGAAGCAACCUCCUGGAUUUGUAAGUGGCAGCUUCCCAAAUCAUGUAUUCAAGCUGUCUAAAGCUCUAUAUGGACUCAAGCAAGCUCCCGAGCCUGGUUUGAAAGAUUAAGCUCUUUUCUUCUAAAUCAAGGUUUCAAACGAGGUAAUAUCGACACAACCUUGUUUAUUAAGCACUCAAAUUUAGGUAAUAUUAUUACUAAAAUUUAUGUUGACGAUAUUAUUUUUGGAAGUCCUAACUCUGUACUAUGUGAAGAAUUCACUCAUGCUAUGAAAGGAGAAUUCGAAAUGAGCAUCAUUGGAGAGCUAACAUUCUUUCUUGGACUGCAAAUCAAACAGUCUCCCAAAGGAAUAUUUAUCGGCCAAACCAAGUACACCAAGGAACUUAUAAAGAAGUUUGGCAUGGAGAAUGCAAAGUCCAUUGGAACUCCAAUGAGUUCAACAACAACGCUUGAAGAAGAUUAUAAUGGAAAAAGUGUGGAUGAAACGAUGUAUGGAGGAAUGAUUGGAUCUUUAUUAUAUCUCACUGCUAGUCGACCAGAUAUAAUGUUCAGUGUGUGUAAAUGUGCAAGGUUUCAGUCGGCUCUAAAAGAAUCCCAUUUUACUGCAGUUAAAUGCAUUAUUAGAUAUCUUAUUGGGACCUCUAAAUUAGGAUUAUGGUAUGCUCACUCUAACAAUUUUGUGUUAAAAGGUUUUUCAGAUGCAGAUUUUAUAGGUGAUAAGAUUGAUAAGAAAAGUACUAGUGGCACAUGCCAACUAUUGGGAAAUUCUCUAAUUUCCUGGCAUAGCAAGAAACAAAAUUCUGUUGCUUUGUCAACUACUGAAGCAUAAUAUUUAGCUGUUGGAAGUUGUUGUACACAAGUUCUUUGGAUCAUGCAUCAACUUCUCGAUUAUGAUUUAUCUCUUACCUCUACUCCUAUAUUUUGUGAUAAUACUAGUGCUAUAUAUCUAUCAAAAAAUUUUGUGCAUCACUCUAGGUCAAAGUAUAUAGAAAUUAAGCAUUAUUUUAUCCGUGAUCAUAUUGCAAAAAGGUGAUAUUGUAUUAGAAUUUAUUAAUACCGAAUCUCAACUUGCUGAUAUUUUUACAAAACUUCUUUUAGAAGAAAGAUUUUGUUUACUGGGUAAAAAGAAUGGCAUUAUGCCUAUUUUGUAAAAACUCUUUCGAUUCUGUAUAAUAUAUUUUAUUUCCUUACUUAAGUUUGCUUAAUUGAUGAAGUGUUUUAAUUUUGAUGUGUGUAAUUAUUACACUCCCAUCGGUGCCGCCGAAGAAACUCCUCAUAAGUGUCACUUCAUUAUGAACCUGGCCUUUCCUUAACCGAGGCAACCCUUCAACCUUCCAAGCACCUAGAUAAGAAACCUUCUCUCCCUCUCAUUCUUCAUAUACUCUAACAAAAUUUCCUUACCAUGGCAAAAAGAAACCUCUAAUCUUCCACUGUCACCAGACGAAGCAGACGAUUUCAGAAAACCCACAACCCCGAAGAAACUGUAGACCUGGAAUCAUCACCUCGACUUAGACUUUCUUAAAACCGACAAUGAAAGUAAUGAAUCAUCGGAGGAUCUACCUAUUAUUCAGAAAAAGGCAGGAAAGAGACCUAUGGAGGAAACCCCCAAAAAUCCUACAUGCAAGAAAGGGAAAGUGGAAAGCAUGGAUUUUGGGCCAGAGGAUAAACUAAACUUUUAUGGACCAAGUGAGAAAUCAAGGUUUGAGUCCUACAAGUCAAAAUCUAUAGCUUAUGGACGCUCUGUAAGUCUUUCUCUUAUGAAAAGUCUGCAUUGUGAUGUGAUUGCUAUUUUUGACUUUCAACGUCUUUCUUCUAUGUUUGAUACUAUUGGAAAUUCCGUGUAUGAAGAGCCUGUGAGAAUGUUCUAUGCUAAUCUGUUUGUUAAUGACAAAGAUGGCUUGGAAUCCAUGGUUUUAGGCACUCGAACUGUUCUUGACUCUUAUUAAUUUGAUAAAGUAUUUUCUGCUAAGUUCCAUGGAUAUGGUGUUUUGUGCAAAAUUCCUGGCCAAAAGAUUUUGAAGUUUCCUUAGAAGAGGCAAAAGCUUUUCUGUCGGAUAACCCCCUGACAUUGGUCCUAAAAAUCUGAAGUUUGAACACCAAGCUUUAGCCCACAUGAUAGCCACCACUUUACUUCCUAGAUACUUUGACUACUAAAGAUAUUUUUGUUCUUUAUUGUCUUGUGAACAAUAAAAGACUUGAUUAGUUUGUGUGGAUUCGUCAAUAUAUGCUUGAAAGUAUCAGGGAUAUAUCCUUUUCUGUUGCUUGUCUACCCUAUGAUUUGCUCAUCUCACACAUUCUUGAAGUUAUGAAGGUUGAUUUGGCACCUUUCUCAUCCAAGCACAUUACCAGUACCUAUGAUAAGACUGCAUUUUCUAUGAUGGGUUACACCUUAAGUGACGACGGAUGGGUCAGGCGUGCCAAAGUUGAAAGUGCUCCAGUACAGGUUGAAGCACCGACUGAACCAACGGAGACUCAGUCGACUGCCACUAACAACCUACAGGAGAUUCAGCAAAAUCUAGAUGGGAAAAAAAUCCUUCUCAUUGCAAUGAAAGAACAAGCGGACAAAAUCCGGGAAGUCGCCAAGGAAAUAGGUACAGAUGUGGCUAAGCUCAAGAUGGUCAUGGGAGCCACGAGGAGGCAAGGGAUCAGGGCAUUCAAUUCCAUGACAGAAAAGAUGGACAAAAUCACCAAAGAAGUUGAAACCUCCUAUGACGCCUUCUACACCAAAGUGAUCAAUACCCUGAAGUACUUUCUAGGGAGAAACUAAAGCAGUGCAUGUGUGUUAUAAAAUUUUUGCUUUUAUUUUGUGACUUCUUUUUUUGUUUGUUUUUGCAUUGGUCUGUAAGAACCAUCACUCUAUGCUUCUGCUGAAGGCAUAACCUCUGCUACCCUAACUAAUCUGUCUAUUAUCUGCCUAUUAUAUACUCUAUUAUGUAUGUUUUGUAUUCAUUUUUUUUCUUUUUGAUUGAUGUUAAAGGGGGAGAAAAAUCUGAAGAGUAAACCAAAGCAACAACUCAAGGGGAGCAGUGAUAUGCAAAUCUAAGUAACAACUCAGGGGGAUCAGGCAUCUCAAGCUAUUAAAGGGAAGUAUACUCUGUUUACUCUCUCUUGAUUGUCAUUAUCAAAAAUGGAGAGAUUAUUACAUCUAAGUUUCAAUGAUGACAAUAGUACAAAUCUAAUCGUAUCUAUUUGAUUGCAGGAAAUCAGGAAGUAGCACUACUUCAAAGAAAGUUCAAAGGCAAGGAUAUCAGAAUGGAAACGAGAUCAAAGGCAACAUAAACAAUGCUAAAUCAAAGGAAGUCAAAGCCUUCAAAAAGGAAACAAAAUCAGUCUAGACGCUUUAGUUUCAAUCAAAGGAUAUCACGGCUAUCUCAACAAGGAAACAAAUCAAGUGUAGCUGCUAAAGAAUAUCAGGCCAUACUUCAAGGACUAAAUUAGAAUUAGAAGAUUGAUCAACCAAAUCGAAGCCACAAAUCACUCCCUGAAAUUUGGAUAUGAAAGGGGAAGGACGUAAACGAAUCCAGCACAUCUCACGUGCAUGAUUUAGAGGCACCCCUUGGGUCAAAUCUCUUAGAGGAUUCUGUGCCUCAAUCAAAGAUCAAUCUGCAACGGCUAUUCAAACUCUCCUAUACGAAGACGGGCAAUCUCAAGAAGAAGAUUCUUGCAACUACACAAACUAUUUUCUAAGCCUUUCUAAUUCUUAGUACAAACACUGUAUUCUUGAGUGUACAAGUAUCACAAAAGAUAGGAAGAGUUAGAACACAAAAAGAGAGUUGUGUCAACAUUACAAAAACAUUGUUGUUGAAUAUCGUUGAUGGUGAAUGUACUAAAACCAUCACUAUUGUAAUCCUUUAUCAAAGAUCUAAGAGAACCCUUAUGACCCAAGGGAACUGGACGUAGGUACCAUACCGAUAUUGAACCAGUAUAAAAACUGUUGUGCCUUCUUUAUCUUUCCGUUUGUUUAUUUCAUUCCUACUGAAAUUGUUCACUGUGCAAAACCUAGUCGACUAAACUCACACUUAUUCAACCAAGAUUUUAAUUGGCUACAAUUCACCCCCUCUAGAAGAUUCUUCAAUUUUUGUUUUUUAAAUUCCUCUGCCUCCUGCAUCAGAUCUUUAUCUAACGAAUUCUCAUCUUAUAGCUUUCCAGAAACUGACUUUAAAAGGUCUAUCUUGAGUUUUAGAGUUGUUAAAAUUUUCUGAUUAAAUUCAAUUUUUAGUUUCAUUUUUAUUCUUUCGCUAAUAAGCCAUUGUCAUACUAACUGUUUGAAACUUUAACUAAUCAUUCAAGAGACUUAGAUAAUUGAAAUCUAAGGAUUUGUCCAUGACUUUUUUAUAUUAGUUUCAAAUUGAGUCAUAAAUAAAGCCACCUUCCAUGAGGGAAACCAUCAAGACCAUACUCGCAAAUGAGAAAAAUUAUUAUCCUUCUGCUAAUAUUCAUCUCGAGAAUAAAAUUUGAAUUACCUUUUUCUAUGAGCACACUGACCACCGAAACCUGUAUGUCCAAGCCAAAAAGUCAACAUAGAGAUGCAGUUGUAUUACUUGCAAAUAUUUUUACAAACAAGAUAAUGAAGGUAAGUUGGUAGAAGACAUAAAGAGAGUUUUAACUAUAUUUGAAUAACCUCUCAGUUGAACAUGUUGGGAAAAAUAAUAUCCCACCCACGAGUAAUAUCUACGAUAAAUAAUAAUGACACAAGAGAGUAACAAUGAAACCAAAUCUUUUAACGGGGUAAAAUUUAAUAUCCGAGAAGAGCAAUAUAAUACCACUAUAAUAUUACAACGUUAUAAUGUCAAAAGACUACUAUGACUCAGAAGAAAUAAUACUCUUUAUUUUAAAUAUCUCACCACAAUACUAUUACCACUCUAUUUUCUCACAUACUAUAAAAUUGUCUGUGGAUUACUCUCACAGCUCUAAUACUUCAUUCUUAU
rnacentral:lncRNA from 1 species